GACGAACGCUGGCGGCGUGCCUAAUACAUGCAAGUUGAGCGAUGAAGAUUGGUGCUUGCACCAAUUUGAAGAGCAGCGAACGGGUGAGUAACGCGUGGGGAAUCUGCCUUUGAGCGGGGGACAACAUUUGGAAACGAAUGCUAAUACCGCAUAAUAACUUUAAACAUAAGUUUUAAGUUUGAAAGAUGCAAUUGCAUCACUCAAAGAUGAUCCCGCGUUGUAUUAGCUAGUUGGUGAGGUAAAGGCUCACCAAGGCGAUGAUACAUAGCCGACCUGAGAGGGUGAUCGGCCACAUUGGGACUGAGACACGGCCCAAACUCCUACGGGAGGCAGCAGUAGGGAAACUUCGGCAAUGGACGAAAGUCUGACCGAGCAACGCCGCGUGAGUGAAGAAGGGUUUCGGAUCGUAAAACUCUGUUGGUAGAGAAGAACGUUGGUGAGAGUGGAAAGCUCAUCAAGUGACGGUAACUACCCAGAAAGGGACGGCUAACUACGUG
rnacentral:rRNA from 1 species